CAAUCCAUGGGAAGGUCGACUAUCCAUGUAUAAUAGAAGCCUAUGGAUAGUCGACCUUCCCAUGGAUAG
rnacentral:sRNA from 1 species